GACGAACGCUGGCGGCGCGCUUAACACAUGCAAGUCGAGCGAGAACCAGUCCUUCGGGACUGGGGACAGCGGCGAACGGGUGAGUAACACGUGGGUAAUCUGCCCUCGGCGCCGGAAUAGCCCGGGGAAACCCGGAUUAAUGCCGGAUGGCCUCUCUGCCCCUCGGGGCGGUGAGAAAAGGUAGCUUCGGCCUCUGGCCGAGGAUGAGCCCGCGGCCGGUUAGCUCGUGGGUGGGGUAAGGGCUCACCAAGGCGACGAGAGGUAGCUGGGCUGAGAGGAGGAUCAGCCACACGGGGACUGAGACACGGCCCAGACGCCUACGGGAGGCAGCAGUGGGGAAUCUUGCGCAAUGGGCGAAAGCCUGACGCAGCGACGCCGCGUGCGGGAAGAAGGCCUUCGGGUUGUAAACCGCUUUCAGGAGGGACGAAGCCACUCGGGUGAAUAGUCUAGAGGGUGACGGUACCUCAAGAAGAAGCCCCGGCUAACUACGUGCCAGCAGCCGCAGUAAUAC
rnacentral:rRNA from 1 species